AUACGGAGGGUGCAAGCGUUACACGGAAUCACUGGGCGUAAAGCGCGCGCAGGCGGCUAUUUAAGUUGGAUGUGAAAGCCUACGGCUCAACCGUAGAACUGCAUCCAAAACUAUUUAGCUAGAGUGUGGGAGAGGAAGAUGGAAUUAGUUGUGUAGGGGUAAAAUCCGUAGAGAUAACUAGGAAUACCAAAAGCGAAGGCAAUCUUCUGGAACACUACUGACGCUGAGGCGCGAAAGCGGGUGGAGCAAACAGGAUUAGAAACCCCAGUAGUCC
rnacentral:rRNA from 1 species